CCUACGGGGGGCAGCAGUGGGGAAUAUUGGGCAAUGGGCGCAAGCCUGACCCAGCAACGCCGCGUGAAGGAAGAAGGCUUUCGGGUUGUAAACUUCUUUUGUCAGGGACGAAGCAAGUGACGGUACCUGACGAAUAAGCCACGGCUAACUACGUGCCAGCAGCCGCGGUAAUACGUAGGUGGCAAGCGUUAUCCGGAUUUAUUGGGUGUAAAGGGAGCGUAGACGGCCAAGCAAGCCAGGGGUGAAAGCCCGGGGCCCAACCCCGGGACUGCCCUUGGAACUGCAUGGCUGGAGUGCGGGGGGGGCAGGCGGAAUUCCUGGUGUAGCGGUGAAAUGCGGAGAUAUCAGGAGGAACACCGGCGGCGAAGGCGGCCUGCUGGACCGCGACUGACGUUGAGGCUCGAAAGCGUGGGGAGCGAACAGGAUUAGAUACCCCAGUAGUC
rnacentral:rRNA from 1 species